UACGAAGGGGGCUAGCGUUGCUCGGAAUCACUGGGCGUAAAGGGUGCGUAGGCGGCCUGUUAAGUCAGGGGUGAAAGACGGUAGCUCAACUAUCGCAGUGCCCUUGAUACUGAUGGGCUUGAAUGUACUUGAGGUAGGCGGAAUGUGACAAGUAGCGGUGAAAUGCAUAGAUAUGUCACAGAACACCAAUUGCGAAGGCAGCUUACUAAAGUAUGAUUGACGCUGAGGCACGAAAGCGUGGGGAUCAAACAGG
rnacentral:rRNA from 1 species